GAACACUCUCCCCACUCCCUUUCUACUUGGGAUACUCCAUGGACAGUGUCAAGGCACAGAGACAAUGAAGGUUUCUGGUCAGGGCUACACGUGGUGAAGCUGAAAAGUGUUCGUGCAGAAGUGCCUUACCACCAUCACCCAUUCAGAAUGCAGCAGUUGCACACCAAGCUUCUAAGGAUGCAAGAGUAUCAGCCAAUGAUACCCAGACACCUCCACGAUUCUCCUUUAGACUUCGCUGGACGUCAGUUCCUUAUGGACAUCCUCUUCUCCCUGAGUCCCAUCCUCCAGCUAUGCCCAACAAUUUAAGUACCAUAACCCAA
rnacentral:lncRNA from 10 species